GACGAACGCUGGCGGCGUGCUUAACACAUGCAAGUCGAACGAUGAAGAAGAGAAACGCGAACUUCGGUUCAAAUUUCACUUCGGAUUAGUGGCAGACGGGUGAGUAACGCGUGAGCAACCUACCUCUUACAAAGGGAUAGCCUCGGGAAACCGUGAUUAAUACCAUAUGACACAUUCAUAAGGCAUCUUAAGAAUGUUAAAGCUACGGCGGUAAGAGAUGGGCUCGCGUCCCAUUAGCUAGUUGGUGAGGUAACGGCCCACCAAGGCGACGAUGGGUAACCGGCCUGAGCGGGUGAACGGUCACAUUGGAACUGAGACACGGUCCGAACUCCUACGGGAGGCAGCAGUGGGGAAUAUUGCACAAUGGAGGGAACUCUGAUGCAGCGACGCCGCGUGAGCGAUGAAGGAAUUCGUUUCGUAAAGCUCUGUUCUAUGGGAAGAAAAGGACUGUACCAUAGGAGAAAGCCCCGGCUAAAUACGUG
rnacentral:rRNA from 1 species